CCAUGAACCUUAGCUAAUUUUUUGAUAACUCUGGAAAGGACAUUUUUCAUUCAUCAUCUUAUUAAAGUGAGAGUUCAGAUUCCACAACCAAUUUUUACUUCAUACUUCCAUCAGUUCUUUCGUUAAUAAAUUUCUUCAAGAAAUGUAUUCUCCAUUAAAAGGCUUCUAUUAACUGAUAUAAAAGGAAAAAUCAUUCAAUUAGCUUUUAAUCUUUGGUUAUAUCGAGCUGAAGAGUUUUAAUUCAUCUCAAAAUCAAGCACGUG
rnacentral:lncRNA from 1 species